GAGGAAAAGAAACUAACAAGGAUUCCCCUAGUAACUGCGAGUGAAGCGGGAAAAGCUCAAAUUUAAAAUCUGGCGGUCUCUGGCCGUCCGAGUUGUAAUCUAGAGAAGUGAUGCCCGCGCUGGACCGUGUACAAGUCUCCUGGAAUGGAGCGUCAUAGAGGGUGAGAAUCCCGUCUUUGACACGGACUACCAGGGCUUUGUGGUAUGCUCUCAAAGAGUCGAGUUGUUUGGGAAUGCAGCUCAAAAUGGGUGGUAAAUUCCAUCUAAAGCUAAAUAUUGGCGAGAGACCGAUAGCGAACAAGUACCGUGAGGGAAAGAUGAAAAGAACUUUGGAAAGAGAGUUAAACAGUACGUGAAAUUGCUGAAAGGGAAACGCUUGAAGUCAGUCAUGUUGGCCAGGGAUCAGCCUUGCUUUUUGCGUGGUGUACUUCCUGGUUGACGGGUCAGCAUCAAUUUUGACCGCUGGAAAAGGGCUUGAGGAAUGUGGCAGCCUCGGCUGUGUUAUAGCUUCUUGUCACAUACAGCGGCUGGGAUUGAGGAACUCAGCACGCCGCAAGGCCGGGUUUCGACCACGUUCGUGCUUAGGAUGCUGGCAUAAUGGCUUUAAGCGACCCGUCUUGAAACACGGACCAAGGAGUCUAACAUGCCUGCCAGUGUUUGGGUGG
rnacentral:rRNA from 1 species